rnacentral:misc_RNA from 1 species
ACUGCUACCUAGAGUAUCCAACACAUCUACUGCCUUGCCAAGCCCCGCUGUACCAGCUCUGCCCAAAAGUGAACUCACUUCUGAAACCUUUGCCAUGGCAACUUGCUUUGACCUUGUUGGUCUGGUUUUAUUUGAUAAAGCCCUAGACAAUCGAGGAAUUCCAUCAUUGAUAGCAUCCAUUUCAACCCCAUGGGAAGCUGCAUUCAACUCUGGAAAAGAGAACACUGGUUCACUUGGUUGAUUCUCCGUGCUUUCCCCCAGUGGAGAUUGCAUAGAAUCAUUAUUUGCCUGUGGGGGCAAUCUAUGCGACUGAUAAACUGUUCCGGCACCAUAGUUGAAGUGACCAUUGACAUGUGGUAUGGAACGACCUGUUGUAUUCUCACUGGUGGCUCUUCUAGAGCAAAGGCCACCCAUUAUCGUAUAAUGCUUCAACCUACUUCAAUCUCGAACUUCCAUCAACAUUUGAGUCAAAAGUCUAUAAAUGCCUUGAGAAACUUCUGCAGCAGAGGACCGAUAUCAAGAAAGCCGAUUGACAAUCUCCUCUCAGAUGUGUCUAAGCUAAACCAAGCAGAUCCUCGAGCUCAGCAAGUAAGAUACAAAGAGUGGUAACAAAAAAGAUGAUAACUUGGAUCUGAACAAAGACACAACAGAUUCUAAUAACCCCUUUUUCAAGAAGAACAAAAUACACUUGAUUAAGGGAGAAAAAAAGGGUAAUACAAGUGAUUAGUAGCUUUUUUUGCUUAAUGGAUGUUGGAUUUUUCGAGAGUUA